GGUCGAGUGGCGUAAAGGUAGCGCGUGGUCCUCCUAUAAAUUGGAGCUAUCCAAGACUGAGGUUGUGGGUUCGAGUCCCAUCUCGAUCG